AAAGAAGAAAGUUACUUAGAGCGUAUGGGGGAUGCCUAGGCUCUCAAAGGCGAAGAAGGACGUGAUAAGCUGCGAAAAGCUGCGGGGAGCUGCAAAUAAGCCCUGAUCCGCAGAUGUCCGAAUGGGGCAACCCUCCCGAGUCAAAUCGGGAAUACCGUGUAAACGGUAGGCAAACCCGGGGAACUGAAACAUCUCAUUACCCGGAGGAAAAGAAAACAAUAGUGAUUCCCAGAGUAGUGGCGAGCGAAAUGGGAACAGCCCAAACCGAUGUUGUUCAGGCAAUGUCGGGGUUGUAGGACCAUCAGACGUGAGUAAAUCUUAAGUGGAACGAUUUGGAAAGGUCGGCCGAAGGAGGUGACAGCCCUGUACACGUAAGAGAUGAAUCACAGGUGGUAUCCUGAGUAAGGCGGGACACGAGGAAUCCUGUCUGAACCAGCCGGGACCAUCCGGUAAGGCUAAAUACUUUUGAGAGACCGAUAGUGGACAAGUACCGUGAGGGAAAGGUGAAAAGAACCCCGAACAGGGGAGUGAAAUAGUACCUGAAACCAUACGCUUACAAGCGGUCGGAGUUCCGCAUGCGGAAUGACGGCGUGCCUUUUGCAUAAUGAGCCUACGAGUUAGUCGUUGCUAGCGAGGUUAAGGGGUUAAGCCCCGGAGCCGAAGCGAAAGCGAGUCUGAAUAGGGCAUAUAGUUAGCAGCGCUAGACGCGAAACCUUGUGAUCUACCCAUGGCCAGGCUGAAGGUCCGGUAACACGGAGUGGAGGGCCGAACCAGGGAACGUUGAAAAGUUCUUGGAUGAGCUGUGGGUAGGGGUGAAAGGCCAAUCAAACUGGGAAAUAGCUCGUACUCCCCGAAAUGCCUUUAGGGGCAGCCUCGAUAUAGUUUUACAGAGGUAGAGCUACUGAUUGGAUGCGAGGGCUUCACCGCCUAUCAAAUCCAGACAAACUCCGAAUGCUGUAAAAUGUUUAUCGGGAGUGAGGGCAUGGGUGCUAAGGUCCGUGUCCGAAAGGGAAAGAACCCAGAUCAUCAGUUAAGGUCCCCAAGUGUGUGUUAAGUUGAAAAAACGAGGUCUGGCUGCAGAGACAGCUAGGAUGUUGGCUUGGAAGCAGCCAUUCAUUUAAAGAGUGCGUAACAGCUCACUAGUCGAGCGGCCGGGCAUGGAUAAUAAUCGGGCAUUAAACACACCACCGAAACUGUGGAUUUCUGACUAUAAGUCAGGAGUGGUAGGGGAGCAUUCCAAACGGCGCAGAAGGUGAACUGUAAGGUUUGCUGGAGCGUUUGGAAAAGCAAAUGUAGGCAUAAGUAACGAUAAUGCGGGUGAGAAACCCGCACGCCGAUAGACUAAGGUUUCCUGAUCAACGUUAAUCGGAUCAGGGUAAGCCGGGGCCUAAGGUGAACCCGAAGGGGGUAGCCGAUGGACAGCAGGUUAAUAUUCCUGCGCACCAUAUACAAUGAAAGUGACGGAGAGACGUAGUUGCUGGGAGCUGACGGAAUAGCUCGCUGAGCAUAGCCUUCGGGCGAAGCGAAGCAAUGAACUUUCUUCCAAGAAAAGCGAGUAUAUGGUCCCGUACCGCAAACCGACACAGGUAGUCAAGGAGAGAAUCCUGAGGCGCUCGAGUGAUUCGCGGCUAAGGAACUAGGCAAAAUGACCCCGUAACUUAGGGAGAAGGGGAUCCCGCAGCGAUGCGGGACGCAGAGAAAUGAUCCAGGCGACUGUUUAACAAAAACACAGGGCUAUGCUAAAUCGCAAGAUGACGUAUAUGGCCUGACACCUGCCCGGUGCCGGAAGGUUAAGAGGGGAUGUUAUCGCAAGAGAAGCAUUGAAUUGAAGCCCCGGUAAACGGCGGCCGUAACUAUAACGGUCCUAAGGUAGCGAAAUUCCUUGUCGGGUAAGUUCCGACCUGCACGAAUGGUGUAACGAUCUGGAUACUGUCUCGGCCGCGAGCUCGGUGAAAUUGUAGUAGCGGUGAAGAUGCCGCUUACCCGCAACGGGACGGAAAGACCCCGUGAACCUUUACUGCAACUUCACAUUGACUCUGGGUAAGUGAUGUGUAGGAUAGGCCGGAGACUAUGAAUCGGUUUCGCCAGGAAUCGAGGAGUCAUCCUUGAAAUACGGCCCUUUGCUUACUUGGAGCCUAAUCCCGUAACCGGGAGACAGUGUGUGGUGGGUAGUUUGACUGGGGUGGUCGCCUCCAAAAGCGUAACGGAGGCUCCCAAAGGUACCCUCAUGGCGAUUGGUAACCGCCAGUAGAGUGUAAUGGUAUAAGGGUGCUUGACUGUGAGACCGACGGGUCGAUCAGGUGGGAAACCAGGGCAUAGUGAUCCGGUGGUUCCGAAUGGAAGGGCCAUCGCUCAAAGGAUAAAAGGUACUCCGGGGAUAACAGGCUGAUCGCUCCCAAGAGCUCAUAUCGACGGAGCGGUUUGGCACCUCGAUGUCGGCUCGUCACAUCCUGGGGCUGGAGAAGGUCCCAAGGGUUCGGCUGUUCGCCGAUUAAAGUGGCACGCGAGCUGGGUUCAGAACGUCGUGAGACAGUUCGGUCCCUAUCUGUUGUGGGCGCAGGAGAUUUGCGAGGACCUGACACUAGUACGAGAGGACCGCGUUGGACAGACCUCUAGUGUACCAGUUGUUCCGCCAGGAGCAUCGCUGGGUAGCUAUGUCUGGAUGAGAUAAGCGCUGAAAGCAUCUAAGCGCGAAGCUCACCUCAAGAUGAGAUCUCCAUUGAGGGCCGUGGGAGACUACCACGUUGAUAGGCUGCAGGUGGAAGGGCGGUAACGUCCGUAGCCGAGCAGUACUAAUUGCCCGAAAGCUUUCUUGA
rnacentral:rRNA from 1 species